CUUUCCACAAAUCCAGUCCUACAAAAGAUGAUAGAUGGAAAAUUCCAGUACAAGGCAGGAAACUACACCCAGAAAAAGAAAGAACACAAUCUACUUUUAAAAAACACAAAAAAGAGAUAAAGUAGGUAGCCACAGAAACAUAAUUCGACAUUUAACAAGAAAAAUAAUAGACAAAACCAAUCAUUUGUCCGAUAUCAUUAAACAUCAAAGGACUCAAAUACCUAUAAAACGACAAACACUAGAAGUCAACUGCCCUGGAAUAAAAACACUUUAUUCUUCCUCUGUCUGCAAUGGAGGGGUCAGAGACAUGGCCAUCUGAUGGACCAAAAUCUAGAAUUGACCUUGUGACUGAGGAGUGUCUCAAACAUUCAGCCUCUGCUGUAGUGUACCUGAAACUGAAUCCUUGUGAACAAGAAUCCAUAGAUGAUUCUCACUUUGUUUGUGGCUGACCAGAACUUGUUCCUCAAACCUUAUUGCAUAGCCAAUACAACUCUGACCACCAAAAAAUCUCCAAGAACAAUGGAUUGAGGUCCCUUGGCCAAUGAAUAAAACUUCCAGCCUGGAUCCAAGGCCACUUAUCUAAGAUUCUCACCAGAAAGGCCAAUAUCCCUCACACCCAUACCUGUGCGGCUUAUAGUAAGUUUAAAUAGGGUUUAGAUCCAGUGACUUUGACACAAGAUUUCAGAAUAAAACUCAGAUUGCUGUCAAGUCUGUAGUGGAGGCCUUGGAGAUAAGAAUUUUCUUGAGUUCUCUGAAAAUAUGGAGCCCUGGAGUGCUGGGACCAUAGUCUUCUAUAGAAGGUAAUCAGGAAUAGUCCCUUACUUUCAAACUGGUUUAAGACCUUUCUCCUUUCAAAAACAUUGGUAUUUUUUUCUGCUCAGGAUGAUUAGGCCUUAGAGUUACUCAUUUGACCAAAUGGUCUCUCAGAACCAUCCCUUUUGCUUGGGGCCCAUGGAAUAUUUUACCUCAGACCAUGGAGCAUUGAUCCCUCUGUUGAAGGUUCACUGAAAUCCAAAAGGAGGGAGCAAAUCCUGGAAUCUCAUGCUACUUCCUUGUGUAAGGUCACAUGAUAUGUUGUGAAGUCAUCAGUCUGGUGCUCAUUUCUUUUUGGUUGAAUAUAGUUUUUAGGAGGCAAUCAGGCUUAGGACACCCCCAACUUUUCUUGAAUCAUGGAAUCUAUAUUCAGUCUCUUGCAGAUUCAGCUAAAGAUGUGUAUAUGCUAGACUGUGAAGUACCAUUAGAAGAUGAAGCAAUGUAGGACCUCUUGAGCUAUUUUCAAGGUAAACUGGAGGUUCACUUGGGAUGCAAUGAAGAGCCCCUGACAAGCAUAUUCUUCAAAGCCUCCCAUGGUGUAACUGAAGAUACGAUAUGUGAAGUAGCCCUAGCUUGCCUGCUCAAGGGAGAUUAGAUCACUGUGACUACCUAUGCAGUCUUUCUCUACCUUUAAAGAUCCAAGGAACUGUUCUCACUCCAGUGACCUGUUGUAAGUAAUCUUGAAUCGCAUUGUUGUUGUUAGUAGAUCUAAUCUCUUCGAAUCCCAGAAGACCAUGUGUCCAAAAAAGUUGAUUGAGGAAGUCUUGGGUGUUUCUGUAGUAGGGGCAGGUGUGAUUGAUGAACAGGAAUGCCUUCCCAGACUAGAUCUUGCAGUUCACAUACACCUGAGCCAUUCUGACAGCGUGCAGCUUCCCAGAAAUGAAUGUUCAGUUGAAGAUACUGGUCUGUUUGAGAAUUGCAAUCCCAGUCUAUUCUUAACUAUGCCUUUUAUUUGAAUCCCCAUAGAAAACAUGGAAGAAUGAAGCUUUUACUUUUUCAUGUUUGCACUCACAAUGCUACCAAACCCUCACAUACAUUAGAACCUGCAUACUGAAAAUUUAUCCAUAUACUUAUGACCAGAUGAGACACCAAGCCUUUUGGACUAAUAAUCUAAUGGGUUCUAGGAGUUUACAAAUAGUCAGCCAUUGUUAAAUUAUGUGGUCCGUAGUCUGUGAUCAUUUUGAACAAUCAGAUUCCUCUAUACAGCGAGAUUCAUCCUUUACUAUCUGUUGGGAACACCAACUACUACACCAGGUAUCUAGAGAAGACCUUUUAUGGCAGUUUGUCUCUAGUAAGAGUUUCAGCUAAGUUACAAAUUUCCAAUGGACACAUUCCCGUAGUCUGACUUUCAAAGGAUGCUUUGAUACAGCCCUUCUUAUUUUCUAUAGUUCUUGGCAACAGAAUUAAAAUAUCAAUUGUAAUCUAUCAAUGAAAUGCACCCUAAUUUAUUUGCAUUAGUGCAUCAGAGAGAAGGAUUAUAGGAUGAACAAGAAUUGAAAAACAAGAUGUCCUUCCUUCUGAGGACCAAGACCAGGAAAUCUGAACUACAUAGAAAUCUGAGACAAGUUGUCUGAAGUUUGUUCUUUCCUUCAAUCAUGGAUCUCCUAGUGAAGGAGCUCAGGUCUCAUGAGUUGGCAAAAAUAACUUUAUUGCUGAGCCAGGUCAACUGCUGAAUACCUCUUUCAUGGACCUGAAGAAACUCUGUAUUCAUCCUGCUAUAAUGUGUAUAUAUCUAUGUAUCAUUCAUAGAAUGGACACUUUACUGUUUGUUUGAAAGCAACAGUUUGUCCCUGAAGAGACACUAAUUUCUUCUUUCGCACAUUAUUUCACAGGCUGAUGGUGGGUCUCAUAAGUUUAUUCUGGAAGUUGCUUUACAAUAAUCAUUCUCUGAUCUGGAAGAGACCCUUUUUAAUGUUAUGAGAUCUGUUAGAACC